rnacentral:lncRNA from 1 species
AGAAAAGUGAUGCAGGUACCAAAAUUAGAACGUGCAGAGUCUUAUUUUUACAUCCUUUUUGUUUGAUUUUCUUCUCCCCAUUGUUUUGUAUUUGCUUUUCCUUAAAGAUUGUUGCUCUUUUCAAAGCAGGCCUGGAAGAACUGACCAUUGAAAAGCUCCAGGCUGUUUGCGCAGAUACAUGGGACCCCACAAGUCCAAACACCAUAAGUAACAUCUGGAUAGAUAUGCUGCAGCUCACCCAUGAGGAGGUCAGGUGUGGAGAAAUGAGUGGAUCUGAGGGGAAUCACCUGAAGUCCCUCCUGUAUUAUCGCUUUGAAAAAGGACUAUGAGAGCUGAAUGCAGCAUUCCAGCUGAGGAAGUCUGUAUCCAUUCUACUGCAUACGGAGAGGGUAGUUCCACUGAAUCAUUCAUAAAUAGCUCUGUACCUUUUCCUCAUUAAUUAAAUUAAUUUAAAACCUAAGACUGUGGAACAAUAGUAGAAUUAUUUCACAUGUUGAGUUUAUAAGGAUAUUUCUUCUAAACAAUAAAAGCAUUUGAAAAUAUAGCUCA